CCUACGGGAGGCAGCAGUGGGGAAUAUUGCACAAUGGGGGAAACCCUGAUGCAGCGACGCCGCGUGAGUGAAGAAGUAUCUCGGUACGUAAAGCUCUAUCAGCAGGGAAGAAAAUGACGGUACCUGACUAAGAAGCCCCGUCUAACUACGUGCCAGCAGACGCGGUAAUACGGAGGGGGCAAGCGUUAUCCGGAUUUACUGGGUGUAAAGGGAGCGUAGAGGGAAGCACAAGUCUGGAGUGAAAUCCCGGGGCUCAACCACGGAACUGCGUUUGAAACUGGGCGGCUGGAGUGCAGGAGGGGUAAGCGGAAUUCGUAGUGUAGCGGUGAAAUGCGUAGAUAUUAGGAGGAACACCGGUGGCGAAGGCGGCUUACUGGACUGUAACUGACGUUGAGGCUCGAAAGCGUGGGGAGCAAACAGGAUUAGAUACCCUUGUAGUC
rnacentral:rRNA from 1 species